GUGGGCUGCAGUUUUUAGGGUUGCAAAGAGUUGGAGAUGACUGAAGCGACCAAGCAGGCACGGGCACACCUCAUAUCUCUGUAGGACUCCCCACAGGCGAGUUCUCCUGGGCUGAGCAGCAGAAUUCAAUGGAAUGCAGGUCAGAAGUCAUCCUCGUUGGCAGAUGCACGCAGGGCAGCAGUCCCUGUGGCCGUCUCAGCCCUUGGUAUCAUGUCUGGCUCGAGCCAACACGAUCUGUCAUUCAGUUUCAAGAGCAUCUGACACACCUUUUCACGCCGAGAGCUAAUUGCUCUAUUUUCCAACCUGGAACUGUCCCUCUUGUGGUAUUUUUCCAAUCGCAGUGAUCUAUCUGUCUAGCCAGCAAGCACUGCCAAGCCAGAGCUAUUCUGGAGGGUGGCUGGGGUGGCGAGCAGGAGAAUUAUUCAGCCACACAGUAAACAAAGGGAAAUUCUCUCUGAAUCAGAAGUUCCAAAGCAAUAGCAUCAUUUCUUUAACCACACAUAUAGGAUAAUAAAAAUGGCUUGCCAUCCAUUUUUAAUCUGCAUGAAAUGAAGACACUCAAUCAUGAAAGUCAUGCAGGAGCUGCUUGCUUCAAACAAGGCAAUGAAUAUAUUACAAAAGUAAUUAAGUGAGAACCCAGGUGAAAUAGAGCAGUAUUCUAUACCAACAGUUCCCUGUAAUCAGAUAAAAACAAAACAACCCAUAGGUUAGAAACAGGAGGUAAAAGUGAAAACCAAGGCUGUAAGUAUGUAAAAAUAUAUAAGGUCCAUUGCAGAACAGAGACAGAGCUCAAAUUUCUAAUACCUCUCAUCAUGUUAUUUUUACUCUUUAGGACAGAGGAAACGGUAAGGACUCACUUUAAGCUGUACUAUAAUUUAUUAUCUUAUUAUUAGCAGUAACUGAUCACUUGCUAUGUAUAAAGCAUUUUGGCAAGAAGUAGCCAACUAAAAGCCAACUAAGUCACUUUGUGUCCAACUCUGCGACCCCAUGGACUGUGUCCCACCAGGCUCCUCUGCCCAUGGGAUUCUCCAGGCAAGAAGACUGGAGUGGGUUGCCAUUUCCGUCUCUAGGGGAUCUUUCUGACCUAGGGAUCAAACCGAGUCCCUUGCAUCUCUGGCAUUGGCAGGUGGGUUUUGUUUUUUUUUUAACUACUAGCACCAUUUGGGAAGCUCCAGUGGAGGAGGAUAAACUGGGGCAUGGAAAGUAGUCAGUAAGUUGAUGAGAGCUGGGGGUUGUGUUUGUCUGCUGAGGCUGCCAUCACCAAGCAUCUCAGACUUGGGGACUUAAACAACAGACACAGAUGGUCACAGUUCGGGAGGUUGGAAACCUGAGAUCAAGAGGUUAGCAGGGUGGGUUUCGUCUGAGUCUUCUCUCCUUGACUUGAAGGCGGCUGUCUUCUUCCUCUGUCUUCACUUGGUCUUGUGUGUGUGUGUGUGUCGGCAUCUUAAUCUCCUCUUCAUACAAAGACACCAGUCACAUUGUUAAUGUGUUAGGGACCACCCUAAUACCUCACUUUACCUUGAUCACCCCUUCAAAAGCCCCAUCUCCAAACACAGUCACAUUAUAUGGUACCAGGAGUUAGGACUAUAAGCUGUGAAUUUGUGGGGAGUGAGUGAAGUCGCUCAGUCGUGUCUGACUCUUUGCGACCCCGUGGACUGUAGCCCUCCAUCCAUGGGGUUUCCCAGGCAAGAAUACUGGAGUGGGUUGCCAUUUCCUUCUCCAGGGGAUCUUCCUGACCCAGGGAUUGAACCCAGGUCUCCCUCAUUGCAGGCAGACGCUUAAACCUCUGAGCCACCAGGGGAGGAGAGGGACACAAUUCAGUCCAUAACAGGGAUACUAGGGGCUUGAAUGAAGAUGGUUUCCUUGGGCAUGGAGAAGAAAGACACCUGGAGCCAUCAUGAAAGCAGAACUAACAACUCUCAGCGAAAGCCUGGAUAUUUUGGCGAGGGAGAAGAUGCCCAUGGAGACUGUAUUUCCUGAAAGACGCAGUGGGCCAGGCUGGAGAAGGAGGCUAGGGAGGGAGAGGGGCCAGGAGAGUCCACGGUGCAGGCCUGCCAGUUUGCCAGCUCCUGGAGCUCUGUGAUGGGUACGUGCGGCCCCUCUCUCUGCAACUUGGGGAGCUGCCUUCUUCAGGAGCAAGGGGGAAGGUGGCUACAGCAAAGCCACAUCAUCCUGCUGAAGGCCCGUGUGGAAUGGAGGCCAUUCACUACAUCAACUCUGAAAGUGAAGAAUCAUGUCAUUCUCAAGGUCCAAGGGUAAGGUGAACAAGGCUGACCCACAUUUCUGAUUCACGGCACAACCAAGGAAGCCUCUUUCCUUAAGCAGGAGUGGAGGAUCAGCUGAGACUGGUUAGUGCUAACGACUCGAGUAAACUGGUUAAGUCUUCUAGAUCAAUUAGUG
ensembl:lncRNA